UAUCUGGUUGAUCCUGCCAGUAGACAUAUGCUUGUCUCAAAGAUUAAGCCAUGCAUGUCUAAGUAUAAGCACUCGUACUGUGAAACUGCGAAUGGCUCAUUAAAUCAGUUAUCGUUUAUUUGAUUGUACCUUUACUACUUGGAUAACCGUGGUAAUUCUAGAGCUAAUACAUGCGAAAAGUCCCGACUUCUGGAAGGGAUGUAUUUAUUAGAUUCAAAACCAAUGCGGGUUCUGCCCGGUCGUUUGGUGAUUCAUAGUAACUGUUCGAAUCGCAGGGCCUCGCGCCGGCGAUGUUUCAUUCAAAUUUCUGCCCUAUCAACUGUCGAUGGUAAGGUAUUGGCUUACCAUGGUUACAACGGGUGACGGAGAAUUAGGGUUCGAUUCCGG
rnacentral:ncRNA from 1 species